rnacentral:rRNA from 1 species
AUUGAACGCUGGCGGCAGGCCUAACACAUGCAAGUCGAACGAGUGGCGGACGGGUGAGUAAUGUCUGGGAACCUGCCUGAUGGAGGGGGAUAACUACUGGAAACGGUAGCUAAUACCGCAUACCAUCGGAUGUGCCUAGAUGGGAUUAGCUAUUAGGUGGGGUAAAGGCUCACCUAGGCGACGAUCCCUAGCUGGUCUGCGAGGAUGACCAGGCACACUGGAACUGAGACACGGUCCAGACUCUUACGGAGGGCAGCAGUGGGGAAUAUUGGACAAUGGGCGCAAGCCUGAUGAGGCCAUGCCGCGUGUAUGAAGAAGGCCUUCGGGUUGUAAGGUACUUUCAGCGGGGAGGCGUUAACCGCAGAAGAAGCACCGGCUAACUCCGUGCCAGCAGCCGCGGUAAUUC